GCGCGUGUAGCCCAGCUGGAUAGAGCGUUUGGCUACGAACCAAAAGGUCGGGGGUUCGAAUCCCUCCACGCGUA
rnacentral:tRNA from 1 species